CCUACGGGAGGCAGCAGUGAGGAAUAUUGGUCAAUGGACGAGAGUCUGAACCAGCCAAGUAGCGUGAAGGAUGACUGCCCUAUGGGUUGUAAACUUCUUUUAUAAAGGAAUAAAACGAGGCACGUGUGCCUUUUUGCAUGUACUUUAUGAAUAAGGAUCGGCUAACUCCGUGCCAGCAGCCGCGGUAAUACGGAGGAUCCGAGCGUUAUCCGGAUUUAUUGGGUUUAAAGGGAGCGUAGAUGGGUUGUUAAGUCAGUUGUGAAAGUUUGCGGCUCAAACGUAAAAUUGCAAUUGAUACUGGCAGUCUUGAGUACAGUUGAGGUAGGCGGAAUUCGUGGUGUAGCGGUGAAAUGCUUAGAUAGCACGAAGAACCCCGAUUGCGAAGGCAGCUUACCAAACUGUGACUGACAUUGAUGCUCGAAAGUGUGGGUAUCAAACAGGAUUAGAUACCCCAGUAGUC
rnacentral:rRNA from 1 species